GUAGUUCCGGUUCCGGCGUGGCCAUUUUCGUUGCUGGUGUUCAGUUGUGGCGGUUGCUGGUCAGUAACAGCCAAGAUGCUGCGGAAUCUGCUGGCUCUUCGUCAGAUUGGGCAGAGGACCAUAAGCACUGCUUCCCGCAGGCAUUUUAAAAAUAAAGUUCCAGAGAAACAAAAACUGUUCCAGGUACUGAAGUAUUUUAUAGGAGAUUGUUACUUGUAAUAAUUAGAUUACCAAAGGGUAGAGUUGGGAUAAACAAGUAUGUGUAUAAAUUAGAUCAUAUGACAAUAUAAACAUUACAAAAGAAGUCAAGGACAUGUACCAUACUGCUAAUAGUGGUUGUCUCUUGGGGAAAGACCUGGUGGAGCAGAGCAAUUUACCUUUAUAAGUAGUUUGAUUAUGAGUGAUUUUUGUUUUAUUAUGGUUUCUAGCUUUUCCUAAAUAAAACUUAAAGUGAUUAAAAAUAGUUGUAUCAUAUAUACAUAAAAAUAAAAUACUUUAUUGAACAGAUGUACUAAAUAGCUACUGUACGCCGGAUUAGAUGCUAGGGAUAUAAUUUAGGUUAUAAACCAAAAUCCCUUCCCCACUUUUUUAAGGGAAAAAAAGUUUCCUAUGACUAAGUCUAAUGUGUGGCAAUUAUUGGUUCUUUUAUAUGUAAGUUAUAUUAAAGUUGUUGAGAUCAGUGUGUAUGUUUUAUAGCUUUAAUGUUUAUAUAUUCUUUGGAAAGACCAUCAUUAAUGGAUCUCAAAUUAACGGUGAAAGAAAAAUGCUGACUUUUAGGAAUUCUUAUUUUAAAAGUAGUAGGAGUAGAGACAGAAUAAAGAAAAUUGUAGGUCUUUUAAAGUUUAAUACUUAAAAUACUUUAAUUCUAGGGAUUUAAGGAGCUAUAUCAUUUUAUAUGCCUGUUCUUUUGAAA
rnacentral:sRNA from 1 species